rnacentral:lncRNA from 1 species
GGAUCCUUGAGCUGUUGCAGAGGCAGCCAACUGCUCCAUAUUUGGCUUCUAUUACACAUUUACAUACUGGAGAGCGGAGCGGCAGCGAGCGCUGUACCGCAGACAUCAUUUCUACUACAGCGCCGGAGCAGCCCGGAGCGUGUCCCCGCGGGGGAAGGAGCCCGCACGCACACACACACACACUCACACACCCGAAGACCCCCGCCCCGGGAGGACGGCGGUGCGCGAGUCUCAGUCCGACCCCCCCGCCAGCCCCACCUCCACUGACACUUUACAGUAAGUGCCUUUUUCUUCCUCCUCUGCUUUCUGCCCCCCCCACCCCCCCGCUCCUCCUCCUCCCCCGGCUUCUCCCCUUGUUUGGGCUGCGGAGCCGCCCGCGGUUCCCGGCUGGAAAAACACGGGGCCGGAGGCGGCUCUGUGCGUGCGUGUGUGUGUGUGUGUGUGUGUGUGUGUGUGUGUGUGCGGGGGGGGCAGCGCUGCGGCCCGGCCUCGGGGCCCAGCCCGGGCGGGGGCCGCGACAUGGCCGAGGGCAGCGGCCUGGGCCCGGGCCCGGGGCUCGCACGGCCCUCCCGCUCCUCCUCCUCCUCCCUUCUUCCUCACCCCGCCGGCAGGGUGCUGGUGGCCGCGGUGGACAUUUUGCGAGCGGCGGCGGGGUGUGUGUUUGUAGCCGUGUGUGUGUGGUGUGUGUGUGGCGGUGCGGUGCGUGACGGGGUAGUGACACGGCCCCUCCGUGUGUGUGUGUGUGUGUGUGUGUGUGAAGUGGGGGGGGGGGGUAGGGAGCGGGGGGGCCGCGGCCGGGCCGCACGGCGCAUGUAGUAGGGGCUGGGCGGCCGCUGAGGGUGAAUGAAGCGAGCGGGCGGCGGAGGAGGCGGCGCUGGGACGGGGAUGUGCCCGGCGGCCGCCCCGCGCCGCUGCUCCCGGGGCCCAGGCCGCCUGCGGACAACGCCCGGUACCGCCGCCGGGGGAGCGCGGGCGGGAGGGCCGCGGGGCACCGCCGCUCGGCCCCGGCGCUGACCGGAGCUCGGGGUCGGCUCGGUGUUGUUCGAUGCCCCCCCACCCCGGUAGGGCCGCGGGCGCCGCGAUCCGCGAGCGCGAUUCCCGGGGGUACCGAAGUCUGAAUUAAACGCGCUGGGAAACGUCAGCGCCCGCUGUAAUAGCGAUAGCGAUAAUAACGCGACGGAGCGGGGAGCGCGUUCCGCGCGGCGGCAGAGGAGGAAUUGCCGAGGAGCACUAACGGAGGAGCAAACAAGUCGGAAGCCGUUAUAUAACGCGCCGUGCGGCGCGGGGAGCGGCGGCUAUUUGGGCGCUGUUGACCGCACGCUGCGCGGCGGGCGCUCCGCGGGCAGCGCCGGGCCGAGCCGAGCCGGGCGGGGGGACGCCCCGCGCCGUGCCGUGCCGGGAGCCCCUCCGUGCGCGGGGCAGAGCGCUGCGGGGCUGCGCGUCCGUGCGGCGGCGCGCUGAGGGCUUUUAAUUUCGGUUUCGAGCCCUUCCGCCGCGGGAUCGCCGCGCCGCGCCUCCGGCCCUUCCCCCGCCUUGGAAGGUGCCGUGGGCCGGCGGCGCGGCCCCGGGUGCGGGGCCCUUCCCGCAGCCCCUCGUCGCCGGAGCCCGCCCGGCCCCGCUCCGCCGCGCGAUGAGAGCGCGCUGCCAUGGCAACAGACGGCCCCGGCCGCUCAGGUGUGCGCGCGCCGUGCGCCCGGCCGCCCCCGUGCCGUGUGCGGCGCCGUGUGCGGGGCGCGGGAGGAGGGGGCGGCGGCGGCCCCGCGCCGAGGCUCCGUCAGGGUGCCGCGGGCUCACGAAAACUUUGCCGCUGCUCCCCUCUCCCUGCCCGGCCGCUGUAGGCCUCGGGGCCGUCCGGCGCCGCGCUGUGACAUCGCCGGUGGGAAUGCCCGGUGUGUUGAGGGGCGGCUGGCUCCCUUCUCCCUUGGUUCAAAAACCCGAGGGGCGUGUAAUAUAAACGUUCUCUUCUCGGCAAACGACUCGUCGCUGAUACUCGGAUUGAUCUGAUUUUGCGUUUGUGCUCGUUAAAAUGCAGCGGAGCGACGGAACGGCAGGGCGGGAAACUUUCCGCCCCAGACGGCGUAGCGCCGUGCAGGAGCAGGCAGUGCAGCUCCGCGCUGCCCUCCGGGAGCGCUCGAGCGAGGAGCGCAUGCCGGCCUUCCGCCCGGUGGCCGCACACGGGCGCAGGCGUCGCUUUGUACGGGCACCGAAUCUGGCGCUCAGUCCUAACGCCGUGGGCCUGGAGCGGCUCCAGGGGCUGCCCGCGAGCCGCGCACACGGUGCGUAUCUGGGGUAGCUCCGCUUGUUGGACUCCGGCCAGGCGCAGAGCGGAGUAGCGGAGCUCAGGCGCUGAUCCCGCUGCCCGCGGCCGUCGUUUUCCCGGUAUCUUUCUACGGCAGAAAGCACCGUGGGAUUUUUGCCCCCUGCAGGAGCCGGGUUAGCCACGUGCGGGAGCGGUGAACUACUCCCGUUGCUAACCGCACGUGCAUCCGCGCUGCUACAAGGCGCAGCCCGGAGCGUUUCACGUCUCGGUGGUGAGAAGUUGCCGGCACCGUGCAGCACCGGAGCUCCCAGGCAGCCCGUAGGCCACGCUGACCGGCUCUCUGUGCCCGGGCUGCCUGCCUUCGGGGGGAACGUCCUCCCUCUGCGUGCCGAGGGGGCUGGAAGGAGGGCAGCCCGUGAAGAGGAGCGGUAGCAGAAGGUGAGCGCUCGCAGCACGGCUGCUCUCGAGCUGCCGCUGCGUGCCCGGUGCUGCUGGUGACGUGCUCCACGGAGAGGCAGUUCACCCGUGUGACUGAGAGCACUGGAAAACAGUUACUUAGUAAAGGCUGCCUCUGCAUAGUUAAGAGACUUCCUGCAAGUACACGGCGCAGCUCUUCUCCCUGGCCUGGUCUGAUUCACUUAGGAGAGGCCGAAGGAACCGGUCUUGUUUUAAGAGACAUUUACACAAGGCCUGGAAUUUCACUUAACAAAAAUUUUUAUGUAAUAGAUCCAGUGGCCUAGUUUCACCUUCAUUAAGAAAAUAGGCGCUAAAUGUGCUCACCUGGAAAGCAACUGCCGAUUUCAACAUUAGGAUGUGAAAGCAGUGGUCUCGGUGCCGUGGCUGGCAGAGCAAAACGAAGGCCCGGUUCCCCCCCGUGCUGAAGUUCAGCAGCACGUCUGGGGACGCAGCAGCGAGGGCUGUCAUUGCUCGUGCAGCGCUGGCUUUUGUUGUGGUGUGCUAAUUGAGGGGAAACGCGAUGAAGAACUGCGGCAGGGCUUAAAGGAAACGCGUGUCAGAAUUGCGGAGGGGCUGCAGCGCUGGCUGGGUGAAGGGCUGUGUGGCAGCUGUAGGGCUGCCUGGGGGCGCACCGGGUUGGGGCGGCCGCUGCACAGGUACGGUCUGGGCGCCCUGCGCAGCUCGGGUGGCAGAUGGAGCUGUAGGUCUCCUUGGAGGUACCCGUACCGACUCUGCUCUAACAAAUACCGACACAAUUAGCUGAAGAGGCAGCAGUCUGACUGGCUUGGCACAGGUAAACGCUGCAGCUUGCUGAAACGACGUGCUGUAUUCCAGUGAGUACUCCAUAGGAAGUUGUAUGCUUUGCUCAGCCUGAGCUUGCGAGCUGAAAAUCCUGAUCUCAUUCGGUUUUACUCAGGCAGAGGCACAGCGAUUUGGGAUCUGAUGUCAUACGCGCAUCUCGUUCGGCGGUUUGCAUUUUUCUAUGAGCUGAAGUUUUUCACACGGUUCUGGCUUAGCUGAUAGAUGAUGGAUGCUUUUACAUGUAAGAAACUUCGCAGUCUCCCGACCUCUGUAGAAAGGCAGAAACUGGAUCUGUGAGUGCAAUUCCUUUUUGAUCCCCCUGCGAACACUGAGAGGGUAAUGCUGGAUGCUUUCUGUUUUUCCCCUAAAAGCUGUAGUCUGAGAUGGCUCUGAAACACAUGCAAAUCUGUGUGCGUGUAUUGGUCCCAGCCUGCAAAGUUGCUUCAGCACACGUCCCAGCGAGGGUUUUGCUGAAUGAGGAUUGAUUAAAGAACCUAUCUGGAGUUAAGUAUGUGUGUAAAUCCUUCCGUAAAUAGGGACGAGUCAGCGUGCUCAUAAACUGAAACAACAAAAGUGCUUCUCAGUGAGGGAGAAACGGUCCCACUAAGUCCUUUUAUUGUCCCAAGAGUGAUAAAAAUAUUUGGUGAGAUUCCAAGUGGGGAAAAAAAAAAAAAAGAAAAAACGUAUUUAGUUGGAUAUGUGAUGUCAGCAGAAUGUCAGUGCCGUUGCGCUCAGUACUUCUGCUGAAGAAGAAUUCAGAAAUAGAAAAAAGAAGAAUGAUGCUGGUAGCAUUGGCCGUUGUUUGCAUUGUUUGAGCGUUUGCAGCACUGUGCACUGGCUCUGAUGUGCUGCGGUUAAGGACGAGGUAACACCACGUUCCCCUGGCUGACUGCAUUCACCCACUGGCAGCGGUUGCAGCAGUAUUCUGUGAGUGGUGCCCCUCCUCAGAUGACACACGUUCUGCUGGCCCUGAAGUCAGCUCGACUCGCGUGUGGUUCUUCACCUCGUUAAGGUCACAUUUAGGGAAGGAGCGCUCUGUUGGAAUAAGUGGGCUACGUUCUCUGCUGUAUGCGUGCGGUCUGCAAGACUGAAUCUAUAGUUUAUUUGUGCUUGAGUAAUAGCGAAGCAGUCGCUCAGGCUUCAUUAGGGUGUCUUAAGGGUGCUGUCAUUUGAGUCUUACCUGUGUUUUUGCUUUGUUUUAUUUCGGUUCCCACCUCCUCAACUUUGGGAUCGACAGUCACGCCGCAGGCCGAGCCAGACGGGCGAGCAAUACAAGCUGUGAAUUUAUUGUUGACACCUGCAGGACAGUGACCACCUUCGCCGUCGUCUUCGCCAUACAGAGAUGCGCUGUCAGUGAGAUCCUGGAGCCCAGGAAAGAGUUUUAAUGCAAAGCAUCAGAAAAAAAAAACCGCUGCAGCAUCUCAUGUGAGAGAGGGGAGAGAAGAAAGGAGACUCGCGCAGUAACAUCUCAAAACACUCAAAUGGUUUGAGACCUUCACCCACUCGUCUUCAGCUGAUCUCUCCCCCUCUGAAUGUGUCGUCUCACGUUAUGCUCCCAAGCCAGCUGCAGGGGAAUGAGGGACCCAACAUCUGUCCGCUUGCUCAUCUCCCACUGACACACUGUAGCUUGCAGUCUGCAUCUGCCAGAUCUGUUUCAAGGCAAAGGGAACUAAAAUAGCUUAAAAGGCUUAUCACUGUUGAAGGUGAACAUGUGACUGCGCCUCAGACUGAACCGGCACCAAAAGCUUGCAGAAAUAACAUGUGGUCUGCUGCCAUCUGCUUACACCUUUUUCUUCCACCCUCCGCUGCUCUUGUCACUUCAGGCUGCUGCAAGCUCUUCAAACCAAAAGCUGUUGUCUUCUGUGUCUUUGCAAAGGGUAUGCUGCUGUGGCACCUUCUCCACCCCAUCUCACACAGCUUUCCGUUCCCACUGUAACGCUAGUAAUAGUAAUGGAGUUGAUAGUUUUAUAAUGUGGUCUUAAUGGGGAUGUGGGUUGGACCAAACGGUUUCAUUUUGUGCUAUCUGCCCAGUUGUGACUCAUCCCUAACGUGAAUUUGUUGACAACACUCAGAUCUCAGGUAUCAAUCGAUGAUGUAAGUGCCCUAUAGUAGAACAGAUGAUGUAAUUCUUACCGAGUUACUAAAGACAGUGACCUUGAGGUGGAUCAGAUGGCUGAGCAUCAGAGAUGGGUCACUGAUUACAGAAUGUCCUUGUUUUAAAACUAUAUUGUCAUCUGUUAAUUAUUGGAGAGGAAUAACGCCAGCGUGUCACAGAAGUUACAGCAUUUAUUGGCUUUUACCAGUAUUUAUGUGCUCUUGUUUUGACAGGUGACUUUUUGAUGGUUUUGCUGCCUUGUUGCUUUGGCUGUCAUUACAAUUUAAGUUUGGGUAGCGUAAUAAUUGACUUUAGUGAGCCCAAGCAAAAUGUUUUCUCUAGUAACAAGUUGCACAUUAAAAAAAAGAGGAAGCAAAAUAGAAGUGGAUGUGAUGUGAAAAAUUCUGAUACACGGAGCAAAAAUGUAUGCCAAUGGGAAAAUCUGCCCCUUCCCCAGCCCAGACUACAGGUGGCCUGCAUAUACAUUAGAAUAAGAGGUAGAAUUGCUUUUGAUUUAAAGAAUUAAUAAAAUAAAAAUAUAUGAUAAGCAUCAGCUGUAUCUUUUGCUUUUAGAUAAACAGCAGGCAGAACUUGAGAAAGGUCAUGGAGAAGAAAUGAAAGGAAACCAUUUGCUGUGAUUGCUAAUAAUAUGGUUAAGAAAAAAGCCUAUUUUUUUCUCAGUGGAAAGAGGGUCUGAGACGCCCCAGUGCAAACAUAGGAAACAGUCAGUUGCAAUAAACACAGAUCCCCAAAAGAAGGAAUAGAGACUUGAAAAGGCAAAUGGUUGAAGAGCUGGUUUUGGUUUCUGUCUCCUUCUUAACAACUAAUGCAUUUUGGGCCUUGCAUUUGCUGUUUAGUGUCAGGAUUUUUUGUUUCUCCCUCCUUAGUAUACUGGCACACUUGUAAGAUAAGUAUUAAACUUAGGAACCUGCCAGCCUUCCCUUCAAGCAGAUCCUUACAGCAAAUGGUGGAAGAAGUUAAUCAUUUGCAUGAAUGUGUGACCUUAUAAAGAAGACUAUGAAAGAUUGAUCUGAUUAAUUAACUACUGCAAUGAACUGAUCUAGGAAAUCACAGAGACACAGACAGCUCAGGAGAAUUCUGUAUUUUCCACUUUGUGUGUGUGUGUGUGUGUGUGUGUGUGUGUGGCAGAAGGUUCUCGGGUAGUUUGCUGUUUGAAACUAGUGAGUGAUAUGGGCUGGAAUUUCUCUUCUUGAGUUCCAUAAAUACACGCUUUUAAUUGUUGAAAUACAUUUCCCUAUUUUGUGGAUUUUUCAGAUCUUCUGUUCUAGGACGGUGUUUGCCUGUGGAUAUUACUGCUUGAUGCCUGAGGCACUCCUAAUGUGCAUGAUUAUAUAGUCUGUUGGAAGCAGUUAAGAUGUAAAAGUUUGUCCAGUUCUUCAUGUACAAAGGGCAUUGCGCAUUGAAGUUCUUCGAUCUGUGUCUUAGUGAGAAUUGACUUCUUUGGCAGUCAGGGAAUCCUGUUGCUUUCUUCACUAAGCUGUGGGCUCAGCAUCCAAGUGCUCCACUCUCCUCUAUGUUUUUAUUCCCAUGUAUGAAUUAGGCAACUACUGUUAUCCCUGUUGCACAGUGAGAUGCAGAAAGGCUGAAGGACAGCUUCAGCACUACAUAACAGCUUGGUGGUGCUGUGCUUUGACUUCAAUUUCCAAAAUCCUGGGCAGCUAUUCUGUCUUAAAG